GGCUCAGAACGAACGCUGGCGGCAGGCUUAACACAUGCAAGUCGAGCGCACUCUUCGGAGUGAGCGGCGGACGGGUUAGUAACGCGUGGGAACGUGCCCUUCUCUAAGGAAUAGCCUCUGGAAACGGAGAGUAAUACCUUAUACGCCCUUUGGGGGAAAGAUUUAUCGGAGAAGGAUCGGCCCGCGUUAGAUUAGAUAGUUGGUGGGGUAAUGGCCUACCAAGUCUACGAUCUAUAGCUGGUUUGAGAGGAUGAUCAGCAACACUGGGACUGAGACACGGCCCAGACUUCUACGGAAGGCAGCAGUGGGGAAUCUUGGACAAUGGGCGCAAGCCUGAUCCAGCCAUGCCGCGUGAGUGAUGAAGGCCUUAGGGUCGUAAAGCUCUUUCACCAGGGAUGAUAAUGACAGUACCUGGAAAAGAAACCCCGGCUAACUCCGUGCCAGCAGCCGCGGUAAUACGGAGGGGGUUAGCGUUGUUCGGAAUUACUGGGCGUAAAGCGCACGUAGGCAGACUAAUCAGUCAGAGGUGAAAUCCCAGGGCUCAACCCUGGAACUGCCUUUGAUACUGUUAGUCUAGAGUCCGAUAGAGGUGAGUGGAAUUCCGAGUGUAGAGGUGAAAUUCGUAGAUAUUCGGAGGAACACCAGUGGCGAAAGCCGCUCACUGGCUCGAUACUGACGCUGAGGUGCGAAAGUGUGGGGAGCAAACGGGAUUAGAUCCCCCGGUAGUCCACACCGUAAACGAUGAAAGCCAGUCGUCGGGUAGAAAACUAUUCGGUGACCCCCUAACGGAUAAAGCAUUCCGCCCGGGGAGUACGGCCCCAGAUUAAACUCAAAGGGAUUGACGGGGGCCCCCCCAAUCCGUGGAACAAGGCGUUUAAUUCCAACCACCCCGAAAAACUUACCAACCUUG
rnacentral:rRNA from 1 species